UGGAGAUGGAGGUGCUGCAGCCCCUGAGCUUCCUUACCAUGGACAUGCUCCAGAAGUGCAUCUUCAGCCACAAGAGCCACUGCCAGGAGCAGCCCAGCAAGUACAUCCAGGCCAUCCUGGAGCUGAGUUCGUUGGUGGUCCGGUGCCACCUCUGGCCACUUCUCCACCCAUGGUGGCUGUACAGGCUCUCCUCUGAUGGCUGGUGCUUUGCCCGUGCCUGUGCCACCAUCCGCGCCUUCACCGCUGACGUGGUGCAGCACCGGCGCCAUGCACUCGCCUGCCUGGGCCACCAGGCCUAGCUGGAUGGCCACCUGCGAUGCAGCAUGGACUUCGUCGACCUCCUGCUGCUCACCAAGGAUGAGGACGGCCACACCCUGUUGGAUGAGGACAUUGCGGCCGAGGCUGACACCUUCAUGUUUGAGGGUGAGCAAGAGCUCCCAGGUGCCACUGGGGCAGAGCCACUCCAGUGUCCCCUCACUCAUCUGAUGUCCCCACAAGCCACGACACUACGGCCAGUGGCCUGGCAUGGCUCAUCUAUAACCUGGCUGGCCACCCUGAGCACCAGGAGCGCUGCCACCAAGAGGUCCAGGAGCUCCUGGCCGGCCAGGACACUGCAGACAUUGAAUGAUGAGAUGUCCCCAGGGCCACCCCUGGCCGUGUGGCUGGGCAACAUGGUGCCACUCCUGCUUGUCCCCAGGGAGGACCUGUCCCAGCUGCCCUUCACCACCAUGUGCAUCAAGGAGAGCCUGCGGCUGCACCCUCCUGUCACUGCCAUGUCCCAGUGCUGCACUGAGGACGUCCCCCUGCGUGACGGCCGUGUCAUCCCCAAGGGUAUGGCGUGGCCAGGGUGUCCCCAGUGUCACCACCCACUGCUGUCACCUGCUGUCCCUAAAGUGGCCAUUCCCAUCCCACCAGGGGUCACCUGCCUGAUGAGUAUCUACAGGACCUAUGUCAGGGUCCACACCACAUGCGGAGUCCUGAUAGGUUCUUUUAGGGAUCUCAAAGCGCAAAAGACACAACAGGGGACAAAACCAGUUUACUUUUGCAAAAGAUGCACUUUUAUUUAGUGCCAACAAAAUGCGAUAGAGGGACGGAGAGAGAGAGAGAGAGAGAGAGAGAGAGAGAGAGAGAGAGAGAGAGAGAAAAGGGGUUGGGAUUAUAGCUACCAGACGGGCAGACGAUCCUCGUGGAACCAGCCAAUAGAUGUCCGUUGCCAUCCGGGGAGAUCUUGGGGGUCUUUAGUUUGAGGAUGUCUAUUAUACUCUUUUUCAAGGCGUCGGGCGAGUGGCCAAACAGGUGAGGACUUUCAGGUACGCUUUGGGUUCCGUGGGGGGAACAAACCCACAACAAGCCCAAGUGAGUCCUUGUCGAUGAAACAAACACAGGGCACUCCAUGUCUGACCAGUUCAUUGUUCUCACACCUGUGGGAGCCUUGUCGACUAAACACAGUUCAGUGCACCGUGACUAUCCGUAAACCAGUCUCCUGAGAAACCAGUCCUGGUCCGAUGGGCAGCACCUGUGAACAAUCGCUUGGCGUUCCUCCCAUCCCUGGCCAGCGCCUUUAAACUGCAGUUUGAGGGGUCUUCUUAGGCCUCAGGUGAGGGUCGUUGGCCAGAGCAAAUGAGAGGCUUUUAGAUGGACUCUCACACCACCCCCGUGACCAACGAGCGUCGCCGAGAAAACUCCAGCAGUGUGAUGUUGUGACGUUGUAGCAUCUUCAGGACCCGUCAUUGGUAGCAUAUCCCGGAAAGUAGGGACAGAAAAAUUAGGGAUCAGUGAGAGAGAAGGAAAGAGGAAAAGAAAAGGAAAGAAAUAAACACAAAGAUAAUAGAGCAAAAUAAUCACAACAAAUUGAUGAAAAACAAUUUUCACAACAAAUUGAAGAACAAUUUUUUAAACAAAUCACGAUCAUGACAAAUUGAAAAACAAGUUUUUAAACAAAUCACAAUCAUGACAAAUUGAAAAACAAUUUUUCAAACAAAUCACAAUCAUAUUAGUUGAAAACUUUCGAAAAAUUAUUCAAACAAUAUUAAAGCAAAUCAAUCAAUAAAAUAACUUUCAAAUAAUAUUAAAGCAUAUCAAUAUUGAUUAUAAUAUGUUUAACAGAAUUGAUUAAAGCAAUUGUUUUUCUAAACCAUUAAAAAAAACAUUAUUUAAACUAAUAGUACUAAUCACAACAAACACAAAAAUUUGAAUGAUUUUUUAAAAUCCACUGCUACAUUUUUACAAACACUAAAUUACAAGCAGUUCUAAAGCAUGCACACCCCUUGCUCAUAUACUCCAGUAGCAUUUCAGGAAUCUCCUUUGGAUAACUUUCAAAGUUACAGACAUUCUGAUCUAUGUCUAAGCAAAUAUCUUGAGCUCUGAUUGCAUUACUUUUACAGAUAAACCCUUGUUGUUUCCAGACAAUGUAAGUUUCCAAAUUAAUAGUUUGUUACUUUUCGCCAAUUUGACAGGCCCAUUCUCUAUGCUCAAAAGGAUAGAGAAUAGCUCCGUCAUGAUUCAGCCCUAAUGCAGUGAUAGAGAAUAUUGAAUGUAUGGAAACAUUACAUAUGGUCAGUGCAAAGGCUGUUACUAUGCUUAUGCUAGGGUAGUAGUUUCACUAGGAUUGGAAUUCUUUUUCAAAAUCAUGAACAUUAUUCCAAAUUAUUCUCCGAAUUUCAGUAGGAAAAGUGGUUUCCUCCACUUCUCACAUAAUUAAGGCAGCAACUGACUGCAUCCACAAUUGAACCUGGAUACAGCAGAGAGCUAAAGAAAUGUUAGCCAAUUUAUUCAUUAAUACUUCUAAAUCAAUACUAUUCAAAAUUCCCAAUCUUGUUCCCACAACACCGGUUAUGUCUCUUGUUUGUUUCUUGAGAGGAUCCUCCUGGUAUUGCAUUGGCAAUUUGACUUGUUUAAAAGACCAUGCUGAUUUAAACAAUAUUUGUUUUUGGCUAGUUUACCAAAUUACCUAAGAUCCAAUUUUAAAGAUUUUCAGGCUCAGUAUAACUGGUGGUUGGGUAGUAGGUGUUAUAACAUUAACAUCAAGUUCCCCUCAGUAUUUUAUAUUGUUUUUACCACACAUAAUUUCAUAGGAAAAUUGUACAACAGUUCAAUUUUGAUUUUGAAUCUUCACAAAAUAUACAGGUUCAAUGAGGGAUUCAGCAAUUAAUCUUCAUGUUCCAUGGUAUUAUUCUGUGAAAAGUAAACACAACAGAAUCUGCCACAAAGAGGCAGGAGGUUAAAAUGAUGGAACUAUUCAUCAUGUAAUGCAGAUUGGAAUUCUGUUAACUUCCCAGUAAUUUGCUGCUAAAAAGGGAGCCACUCUGUACCUCCUUUAAACACAGCAUAAGAGUCAGUGUAGUUGCAGACAAAGGAUGCACUCCGUGCUUCAAGCUGGAAAACACUCCAAAUAACCAUCAGCAACCCAACCCAAGAGCCACCCCGUCCCCCAGCAAUAAUUUGUUCAGCAGAAACAACAUUAGUGAACAAAAAAUUAGUGCACAAAGAUUGUUUGGGGGAGAGAGCAGAGGCUAUUUUAAUUACCAAGACAAGUUUGUCAUAGCUGCUACCAAAGCUCUCAGUUUCUGUUACUGCCAGAUUUUUUACAGUUCCUUCUGUUACUGAGAAUUUCUGGGCCACCCCGUCAGGGGGGGCAGUCCCAGUAGUGGCUAUCUUCAAAAACUUCACUUCCUGAGAAGGUUUUUGAAUUUUCUCUGAGGCAAUUUGCAAGUUAGGGCUUUUCAAAUGAGAGAUUAUUUUUUUUUGUUGGGUAUCCCCCACUACUUCUAUUUCAUUUCUUCCCACAAGGGUAUCACCAAUAUAUUGAUAAACAGCCCCAUUGUCAGGUUUGGGUUUUUAGAUUGCCCAUAUAGGGGAGUUUUGCAAGUCCUGUAUAACUGGUUUGAGCCCUUCUUUGGCACCAGAAGGAGGAGGGCAUUGUUUUACAUUUACAGGUAAUUGCAUAGGUGAUUUAUAGCCAGCAGUGAGUUUUAUUUCAUGUAUAAUUUGCAAGCAAGCAGCUUUUUGAAUGUUUUCUAGGAGUUGGUCGGGAGUAUCAACUAAAGCUACAAGGUCUCCCCUUUCCAAAGGGUUAAGCCCUGCUGCCCAAUAAACUGCACACUGAGUUGGGGACCAUAAGUUACGUUUGACUUCUGUUGUUAAGAAAGUCCCAUGUCCCCAGUACCCACUAGCUGCUUCUUCUGAUAAUUUAGUAGCAGUGUACAGGAUUUUUGUAGUGGUUAUUUGUGGGUCAAAAUUCUCAUCAUUGAUAAAACUGUAUUCUGUUUUAACCAAAGGUCUCAAGCUAGGGCAGCAAUAUUCCCUACUAUUUUUCAUCAGAGUUAGUUCUUUUUGAGGAUAUAUUUGAUCAGUUUCUUUCUCUUCUGUUUCUUUUGGCAAAUCAGUGUGUUUUAAAGUGUUGGUGUGUUCUUGUCUUAGGGCAGCUCUUAAAGAAUGAUUCUCAUCUCUUAAAGAAUGAAUCUCAUCACUCAAAGCAUGAUUAUCAUUCCUUUCUUCAUCUAAUUGUUUUUGCAAAAUUUCCACUAAAUUUUGUAGGGAGUCAAUAAUUGCUCUUUCUUCACUUCUUCGCGUAAAGCGACUUUCUAUAGCUGCCGUAAGACAGGCCCCCAAAACUGAGCAGAGAAUGGUCUUAUUUUUGCCCAGUCUGAAUUUUGUUUCAUGCUGCAAAGAAUGUAUCAUAUCAAUCACAUUUUCUAAAUAAAACCAGUUAUUGUAUGCCCAAUCUUCUCCCCCUUGGGAGGGUCUGGCUUUGUACUUAGCUAGCAAAGCAUAAAAAGCAUUUUUAUCUUCUUCAGACAUUUUUACAAAGGGACUAAAACCACUCUCAGGGAGGCACACUUAAAAUUACACAAAAAGCACAGCUAAAACUGUGUUUCCCUUCUCGUCCCUGGAGCGGGUGAAGAGACCACACUACUUGGGAGGUACUACCUUAGUUACAAAAAAGCUUGUCUCUUCGUGAUCCCGAGUAGUCAACAAAAAAACAACAAACACCCAGCCUAUAGCUGAGGACAACCCCUUUCUUCCCUGCCUGGGUUAGGGGUCUAAAACAACAAACACCCAGCCUUUAGCUGAGGACAAUCCCCUUUCUUCCCUGCCUGGGUUAGAGGAUCAAAAACUGCCUGGGAGGUUCUCUCCUCAGCAGCUUAACACCACAUAUACAACAAAAACACAAGUCCCAUCUUUUGCACAGUUGAGAUCCUUUACAAAAAAUUCUCCGAUAACUGAAAUGGAGUUGAUUAUCUACCUGGGUCUGUGUGCAGAUUGCGGGAAGAACCCAAUACCACCUCCCUUGCUUUCCAACACUGUUCAGUCCUUACGGUACUGACAGGCUGGGUGCGGCUGAAAUGGCACAGGUCUUCUCCUGGUACAAAGUGCACAGAAAACCCCCAACUCCUCCAGUAUCAGGGAAUCCUGCCGACUACGCCAAUUGAAUGUCAGGGUCCACACCACAUGCGGAGUCCUGAUAGGUUCUUUUAGGGAUCUCAAAGCGCAAAAGACACAACAGGGGACAAAACCAGUUUACUUUUGCAAAAGAUGCACUUUUAUUUAGUGCCAACAAAAUGCGAUAGAGGGACGGAGAGAGAGAGAGAGAGAGAGAGAGACAGAGAGAGAGAGACAGAGAGAGAGAAAAGGGGUUGGGAUUAUAGCUACCAGACAGGCAGACGAUCCUCGUGGAACCAGCCAAUAGAUGUCCGUUGCCAUCCGGGGAGAUCUUGGGGGUCUUUAGUUUGAGGAUGUCUAUUAUACUCUUUUUCAAGGCGUCGGGCGAGUGGCCAAACAGGUGAGGACUUUCAGGUACGCUUUGGGUUCCGUGGGGGGAACAAACCCACAACAAGCCCAAGUGAGUCCUUGUCGAUGAAACAAACACAGGGCACUCCAUGUCUGACCAGUUCAUUGUUCUCGCACCUGUGGGAGCCUUGUCGACUAAACACAGUUCAGUGCACCGUGACUAUCCGUAAACCAGUCUCCUGAGAAACCAGUCCUGGUCCGAUGGGCAGCACCUGUGAACAAUCGCUUGGCGUUCCUCCCAUCC